GACGAACGCUGGCGGCGUGCUUAACACAUGCAAGUCGAACGGAAAGGCCCUGCUUUUGUGGGGUGCUCGAGUGGCGAACGGGUGAGUAACACGUGAGUAACCUGCCCUUGACUUUGGGAUAACUUCAGGAAACUGGGGCUAAUACCGGAUAGGAGCUCCUGCUGCAUGGUGGGGGUUGGAAAGUUUCGGCGGUUGGGGAUGGACUCGCGGCUUAUCAGCUUGUUGGUGGGGUAGUGGCUUACCAAGGCUUUGACGGGUAGCCGGCCUGAGAGGGUGACCGGCCACAUUGGGACUGAGAUACGGCCCAGACUCCUACGGGAGGCAGCAGUGGGGAAUAUUGCACAAUGGGCGGAGGCCUGAUGCAGCAACGCCGCGUGCGGGAUGACGGCCUUCGGGUUGUAAACCGCUUUCGCCUGUGACGAAGCGUGAGUGACGGUAAUGGGUAAAGAAGCACCGGCUAACUACGUGCCAGCAGCCGCGGUGAUACGUAGGGUGCGAGCGUUGUCCGGAUUUAUUGGGCGUAAAGGGCUCGUAGGUGGUUGAUCGCGUCGGAAGUGUAAUCUUGGGGCUUAACCCUGAGCGUGCUUUCGAUACGGGUUGACUUGAGGAAGGUAGGGGAGAAUGGAAUUCCUGGUGGAGCGGUGGAAUGCGCAGAUAUCAGGAGGAACACCAGUGGCGAAGGCGGUUCUCUGGGCCUUUCCUGACGCUGAGGAGCGAAAGCGUGGGGAGCGAACAGGCUUAGAUACCCUGGUAGUCCACGCUGUAAACGGUGGGUACUAGGUGUGGGGUCCAUUCCACGGGUUCCGUGCCGUAGCUAACGCUUUAAGUACCCCGCCUGGGGAGUUCGGCCGCAAGGCUAAAACUCAAAGGAAUUGACGGGGCCCCGCACAAGCGGCGGAGCAUGCGGAUUAAUUCGAUGCAACGCGUAGAACCUUACCUGGGUUUGACAUGGAUCGGGAGUGCUCAGAGAUGGGUGUGCCUCUUUUGGGGUCGGUUCACAGGUGGUGCAUGGCUGUCGUCAGCUCGUGUCGUGAGAUGUUGGGUUAAGUCCCGCAACGAGCGCAACCCUUGUUCACUGUUGCCAGCACGUUAUGGUGGGGACUCAGUGGAGACCGCCGGGGUCAACUCGGAGGAAGGUGGGGAUGACGUCAAGUCAUCAUGCCCCUUAUGUCCAGGGCUUCACGCAUGCUACAAUGGCUGGUACAGAGAGUGGCGAGCCUGUGAGGGUGAGCGAAUCUCGGAAAGCCGGUCUCAGUUCGGAUUGGGGUCUGCAACUCGACCUCAUGAAGUCGGAGUCGCUAGUAAUCGCAGAUCAGCAACGCUGCGGUGAAUACGUUCCCGGG
rnacentral:rRNA from 1 species